rnacentral:rRNA from 1 species
CCUACGGGGGGCAGCAGUGAGGAAUAUUGGUCAAUGGACGAGAGUCUGAACCAGCCAAGUAGCGUGAAGGAUGACUGCCCUAUGGGUUGUAAACUUCUUUUAUAUGGGAAUAAAAUGUUCCACGUGUGGGAUUUUGUAUGUACCAUAUGAAUAAGGAUCGGCUAACUCCGUGCCAGCAGCCGCGGUAAUACGGAGGAUCCGAGCCUUAUCCGGAUUUAUUGGGUUUAAAGGGAGCGUAGGUGGAUUGUUAAGUCAGUUGUGAAAGUUUGCGGCUCAACCGUAAAAUUGCAGUUGAAACUGGCAGUCUUGAGUACAGUAGAGGUGGGCGGAAUUCGUGGUGUAGCGGUGAAAUGCUUAGAUAUCACGAAGAACUCCGAUUGCGAAGGCAGUUCACUGGACUGCAACUGACACUGAGGCUCGAAAGUGUGGGUAUCAAACAGGAUUAGAUACCCGAGUAGUC